AUACGGAGGGUGCAAGCGUUACUCGGAAUCACUGGGCGUAAAGGACGCGUAGGCGGGUUGGUAAGUCAGGUGUGAAAUCCUACAGCUUAACUGUAGAACUGCACUUGAAACUACCAACCUCGAGUAUGGGAGGGGGAGAUGGAAUUAGUGGUGUAGGGGUAAAAUCCGUAGAUAUCACUAGGAAUACCGAAAGCGAAGGCGAUCUCCUGGAACAUAACUGACGCUAAGGCGUGAAAGCGUGGGGAGCAAACAGGAUUAGAUACCCCAGUAGUCC
rnacentral:rRNA from 1 species